UGGAAGAGUAAACAAACAGGCCAGCCA
rnacentral:piRNA from 1 species